AUUUAGUUUCGUAGGCUUCAUAGUUGAGUUGCUGAUUACGCAUAAACGCAAGUAGUGAUAAACGAUUUGUUGAUCUCUUUGACAACAAAAGUUCUUCGACUGUACGCUUAAUUUCCUUGUUUACUAGUGAAGAAAAUGAAGCCCGUAUUUCAUCUUCCCGAGGUUCAGCUCGCGCUUUAAUUAUGUCCAUUCGAAUGCCCAAUUCUGAAAUAGGAAAAGAUGCUCUUACAGAAGAAAGAGAAAUAGCUGAAUCGUAUAUGUAAACUUUCACGUUUUCUUCUUGAAAUAAUUUCUGCGGUUCCUCGGAUAUUUCAAUAUUUCCCUGCACAGCAAGAAUACAUAAGUUGCAGCCUCGACAAGCAACAGCUGAACAAUUUUCAGCUUUGCAUAUUUGCAAUAAACUAUAAAUUUUCUAUUGAAUUAGUUAUAUUUGAUUUCAUUAAGGUUAGCGUACAAUUUUUAUGAGAUCACGAGGAACAAAUAUCCAUUGAUGUUUGGUUUCAUUAGGAAUUCCUAAAACACGUAUAUUGAGACAUUCACAACUUAUUCCAUCGCCAAAUGGCGAUUGCAAUUGCAUUAAAUCUACUAUGAAGAUUUCGUCAACGCUCGAAUCGCGUUGCUCAGUGAGAUCGGCGUUGGCAAGAAUUAGGUACGCCGUUGUCGAUGUA